GUACCGCGUUGACGGAGCGAAGCGACGUCAAACCGAUAAAACAGCAGUGUAAAGUGAGCCGCAGGGCGCUUUGCGCGACAGCGCAAAGGCAGGCGGUUUCGCGUAGCGAAAGCGAAUGCUUUGGGGUGGGGUGACUGCGUACCUUUUGUAUAAUGGGUCAGCGACUUAUAUUCUGUAGCAAGGUUAACCGUAUAGGGGAGCCGUAGGGAAACCGAGUCUUAACCGGGCGUUAAGUUGCAGGGUAUAGACCCGAAACCCGGUGAUCUAGCCAUGGGCAGGUUGAAGGUUGGGUAACACUAACUGGAGGACCGAACCGACUAAUGUUGAAAAAUUAGCGGAUGACCUGUGGCUGGGGGUGAAAGGCCAAUCAAACCGGGAGAUAGCUGGUUCUCCCCGAAAGCUAUUUAGGUAGCGCCUCGUGAAUUCAUCUCCGGGGGUAGAGCACUGUUUCGGCUAGGGGGCCAUCCCGGCUUACCAACCCGAUGCAAACUGCGAAUACCGGAGAAUGUUAUCACGGGAGACACACGGCGGGUGCUAACGUCCGUCGUGAAGAGGGAAACAACCCAGACCGCCAGCUAAGGUCCCAAAGUCAUGGUUAAGUGGGAAACGAUGUGGGAAGGCCCAGACAGCCAGGAUGUUGGCUUAGAAGCAGCCAUCAUUUAAAGAAAGCGUAAUAGCUCACUGGUCGAGUCGGCCUGCGCGGAAGAUGUAACGGGGCUAAACCAU
rnacentral:rRNA from 1 species